AUACGUAGGGGGCGAGCGUUGUCCGGAAUGAUUGGGCGUAAAGGGCGCGUAGGCGGCGCGGUAAGUCUGGAGUGAAAGUCCUGCUUUCAAGGUGGGAACUGCUUUGGAUACUGCCGCGCUUGAGUGCAGGAGAGGUUAUCGGAAUUCCCGGUGUAGCGGUGAAAUGCGUAGAGAUCGGGAGGAACACCAGUGGCGAAGGCGGGUAACUGGACUGCAACUGACGCUGAGGCGCGAAAGUGUGGGGAGCAAACAGGAUUAGAUACCCUGGUAGUCCACACUGUAAACGAUGAAUGCUAGGUGUAAGAGGUAUCGACCCCUUUUGUGCCGGAGUCAACACAAUAAGCAUUCCGCCUGGGGAGUACGGCCGCAAGGUUGAAACUCAAAUGAAUUGGCGGGG
rnacentral:rRNA from 1 species